ACAGCCGGAUGCAGCCAGGCCGCGUGAGUGAUGAAGGCCUUAGGGUUGUAAAGAUCUUUCAGAUGGGAAGAUAAUGACGGUACCUUCAGAAGAAGGUGCGGCUAACUCCGUGCCAGCAGCCGCGGUGAUACGGAGGGAGCUAGCGUUGUUCGGAAUUACUGGGCGUAAAGCGUACGUAGCGGUACUAUUAAGUCAGAUGGUGAAAUCUCAGGGCUCAACCCUGGAACUGCCUUUGAUACUGGUAUGUACUAUGAGGUCGAGAGAGGUAGAGUGGAAUUCCCUGUGGUAAGGUGAAAUUGCUAAAAUUUCAGAGGAACACCCGUGGCGAAAGGCGCUCACUGGGUCCGUACUGACGCUGAAGUACCAAAGUGUGGGUAGCAAACAGGAUUAAAUACCCUGGGUAUCCCCCCCCGAAAACAUGAAUGCCUAUCUGUCGGGUGGACUUGUCCUUUGAGUCGCACGCCCCUAACUACAUUAAUUAUUCCCCCUGGGGAGUACGGUCGGUCGAUUAAAUACUCAAAGGAAUUGAUUGGA
rnacentral:rRNA from 1 species